CAAUAGAAAUAGUUGGAAUGUGAGUGCUUUGUGUUUGCAUGUUUGACAGGUUGAAAGAAGGAAGAGACACCUUUGCUCUGGGUCCUUGAAGUUCCUUGGAGAGGGCAGGACCAAGAGCAUCUCAGUGACAAACAUAAUGGACUGAAAUCCAGGGUCCCUCUGCAAUUUUCCAGCACUGUAUUGGUUCUAAUUUUGAAGUACACAGAUGAAGAUAAAGAUACACUGGAGAGGAAAACAUUUUUCCCAGAGAAGCAGAACGGAGAGUGUGAAGUGCUAAAGACCCAGAAAAGGGAUGAUGAUUAGAAUUUCAGAUCCAGCAGACCUGUGGAUCUGCACAUACAAGCAAUACCUUCUAUCUCUACCUGUCCUCCAUGACGUCUGUUUGGAAUCACUGAAUUGAGAAACACAUACCAUGUGUUAAUUUAAGGUAGGGGAAUAAAGUUUCUAACAAUACUGGGGAUUUAUAAUAA
rnacentral:lncRNA from 1 species